GCUACCAUGCAGUCGAGCGUGUCACUUCGGUGACAAGCGGCGAACGGGUGAGUAACACGUAGGUUAUCUGCCUUUUGGUGGGGGAUAACCCAGGGAAACCUGGGCUAAUACCGCAUAUGGUCUUCGGAUCAAAGCCUUCGGGCGCCAGAGGAUGAGCCUGCGGCGCAUUACCUAGUUGGUAGGGUAACGGCCUACCAAGGGGACGAUGCGUAGCUGGUCUGAGAGGAUGAUCAGCCACACUGGGACUGAGACACGGCCCAGACUUCUACGGAAGGCAGCAGUGGGGAAUAUUGCGCAAUGGGCGAAAGCCUGACGCAGCCACGCCGCGUGGGUGAUGAAGGCCCUCGGGUUGUAAAGCCCUGUCGGGAGGGACGAAGUUCUGACGGUACCUCCCAAGAAAGCACCGGCUAACUCCGUGCCAGCAGCCGCGGUAAUACGGAGGGUGCGAGCGUUGCUCGGAAUUAUUGGGCGUAAAGCGUACGCAGGCGGCUCAGCAAGUCGAGUGUGAAAUCCCGAGGCUCAACUUCGGACGUGCAUUCGAAACUACUGGGCUUGAGUGCGGGAGAGGGAAGCGGAAUUCCUGGUGUAGAGGUGAAAUUCGUAGAUAUCAGGAGGAACACCGGUGGCGAAAGCGGCUUCCUGGCCCGACACUGACGCUCAUGUACGAAAGCGUGGGGAGCAAACAGGAUUAGAUACCCUGGUAGUCCACGCCGUAAACGAUGAGUGCUAGCUGCUGGGAAUGUUUACCGUUUCAGUGGCGAAGCUAACGCAUUAAGCACUCCGCCUGGGAAGUACGGCCGCAAGGCUAAAACUCAAAGGAAUUGACGGGGGCCCGCACAAGCGGUGGAACC
rnacentral:rRNA from 1 species